ensembl:misc_RNA Y_RNA Y RNA
GGCUGGUCCAAAGGUAGUGAGUACCCCUAGUUGAUCACAGUUACAGAUUGAGCUCUUGUUCUCCUCUUCCCCCCUUUCUCACUACUGCACUUUACCCAUCAUAG